AGGGAAUCUCCCACAAUGGGCGAAAGCCUGAUGGAGCAACGCCGCGUGAGUGAUGAAGGUUUUCGGAUCGUAAAACUCUGUUGUUAGGGAAGAACACCCGAGAGAGGAUCUCGGACUGACGGUACCUAACGAGAAAGCCCCGGCUAACUACGUGCCAGCAGCCGCGGUAAUACGUAGGGUGCAAGCGUUAUCCGGAUUCACUGGGUUUAAAGGGUGCGUAGGUGGGCAGAUAAGUCAGUGGUGAAAUCUUCCGGCUUAACCGGAAAAUUGCCGUUGAUACUAUUUGUCUUGAAUAUUGUGGAGGUAAGCGGAAUAUGUCAUGUAGCGGUGAAAUGCUUAGAUAUGACAUAGAACACCAAUUGCGAAGGCAGCUUACUAUAUAAUUAUUGACACUGAGGCACGAAAGCGUGGGUAGCGAACA
rnacentral:rRNA from 1 species